UACGGAGGGGGGGAGCGUUGUUCGGAAUUACUGGGCGUAAAGCGCGCGUAGGCGGCUUCGCAAGUCAGAGGUGAAAGCCCGGGGCUCAACCCCGGAACUGCAUUUGAGACUGCGUCGCUCGAAUCCGGGAGAGGCGGGUGGAAUUCCCAGUGUAGAGGUGAAAUUCGUAGAUAUUGGGAAGAACACCAGUGGCGAAGGCGGCCCGCUGGACUGGGACUGACGCUGAGGUGCGAAAGCGUGGGGAGCAAACAGG
rnacentral:rRNA from 1 species